rnacentral:lncRNA from 1 species
GGGGGGUGGUUCUACCGGAACGCAUUUUCCUGGUUCUCUGUGGGAUCUGCCAGUCAUAAGAGGUGGGUGUUUCUUCCGGAAUCCAUUUCGCUGGUUCCCUGUAAUUAAGCAGGCUUAAGUGAUUUGUCCUGUGUGCUGCUGGGUACAGUGAAGGAAGCUCAGGCAAGUUCUGAAAGUGCGACAUGAUGAGGAUAUUGUCACUUCCCACAGAGAACGCAGUGACGUACUAUGAUGUCCUGGUGAGCUUUACUCAGGAAGAAUGGGCUUUGCUGGAUCCUUCCCAGAAGAGUCUCUACAAAGAUGUGAUGCUCGAAACCUAUAAGAACCUCACUGCCAUAGGGUAUAACUGGGAAGAUGACAAUAUUGAAGAAGAUUGUGAAAAUUCUGGAAGACCCAGAAGGCAUCUUCAAAGGGAUGGACCAAGUAAUACUGGAGAGAAACCCUUUGGAUGUAUUCAAUAUGAUGGAGCCUUUGCAAGAAACAGUUAUCAUCAGUUAUAUAAGAGCACUGGAUCUUUCAUGUCUUAUACUGAUCAUCAAACACAUAGAAGACCACACACUGAAGAAAAAGUCUAUGAUGGUAACCAAUGUGGUAAAACCUUUUCAUGUCACAGCCAUUUUGAAAUCCGUAAAGGAACAUAUACUGGAGAAAAACCCUAUGAAUGUAAUCAAUGUGGAAAAACCUUUGCAAGUCACAGCAAUCUUCAAAUCCAUAAAAGAAUACAUACUGGAGAGAAACCCUAUGAAUGUAAACAAUGUGGAAAAGCCUUUAGACAUCACGGUUCUCUUCAUAUCCAUAAAAGAAUACAUACAGGAGAGAAACCCUAUAAAUGUAACCAGUGUGGCAGAACCUUUGCCCAAUUUGGUCAUCUUCAAUGUCAUAAAAUAACACAUACUGGAGAGAAACUCUAUCAAUGUAACCAAUGUGGGAAAGCCUUUGCAUAUCACAAAACUCUUAAAAUCCAUAAAGAAGAAACACAUACUGGAGAGAAACCCUAUGAAUGUAAUCAAUGUGGCAAAGCCUUUGCAUGUCGUAGAUAUCUUCGAAUCCAUAAAAAAACACAUACUGGAGAGAAACCCUUUGAAUGUAACCAAUGUGGCAAAGCCUUUGCAUAUCACAGAACUCUUCAGAUCCAUAAAACAAAACAUACUGGAGAGAAACCCUAUGAAUGUAACCAAUGUGGCAAAGCCUUUACAUAUCACAAAACUCUUCAAGUCCAUGAAAGAACACAUACUGGAGAGAAACUCUAUCAAUGUAACCAAUGUGGCAAAGCCUUUGCAUAUCACAGAACUCUUCAAAUCCAUGAAAGAACACAUACUGGAGAGAAACUCUAUGAAUGUAAUCAAUGUGGCAAAGCCUUUGCAUGUCGCAGAUAUCUUCAAACACAUAAAACAACACAUACUGGAGAGAAACCCUAUGAAUGUAACCAGUGUGGCAAAGCCUUUAAACAAUAUGUUCAUCUUCAGUGUCAUCAAAGGAUACAUACUGGAGAGAAACCCUAUGAAUGUAACCAAUGUGGCAAAGCCUUUACAUGUCACAGAUAUCUUCAAAUCCAUAAAAGAACACAUACUGGAGAGAAACCCUAUGAAUGUAAUCAAUGUGGCAAAGCCUUUGCACGUCACAGCAAUCUUCAAACUCAUAAAAGAACACAUACUGGGGAGAAACUCUAUGAAUGUAAACAAUGUGGCAAAGCCUUUACAUGUCACAGUUAUCUUAAAAUCCAUGAAAGGAGACAUACUGGAGAGAAACCCUAUGAAUGUAAACAAUGUGGCAAAGCCUUUGCAUGUUACAGAUCUCUUCAAAUCCAUAAAAGAACACAUACUGGAGAGAAACCCUAUGAAUGUAAUCAAUGUGGCAAAGCCUUUGCAUGUCCCAGAUACCUUCAAAUCCAUAAAAGAACACAUACUGGAGAGAAACCCUAUGAAUGUAAACAAUGUGGCAAAGCCUUUGCAUAUCACAGAACUCUUCAAGUCCAUAAAAGAACACAUACUGGAGAGAAACCUUAUGAAUGUAAUCAAUGUGGCAAGGCCUUUGCAUGUCGCAGAAAUCUUCAAAUCCAUAAAAGAACACAUACUGGAGAGAAACCCUAUGAAUGUAACCAGUGUGGCAAAGCCUUUACACAAUUUGUUCAUCUUCAACGUCAUGAAAUAACACAUACUGAAAAGAAACCCUAUGAAUGUAACUAAUGUGGCAAAGCCUUUACAGGUCACAGUACUCUUCGAAAUCAUAAAAGAAUACAUACUAGAGAAAAACCCUAUGAAUGUAACCAGUGUACCAAAGCUUUUACACAAUUUGUUCAUCUUCAGUGUCAUCAAAGGAUACAUUCUGGAGAGAAACCCUAUGAAUGUAAACACUGUGUCAAAGCCUUUACAUGUCAUAGUACUCUUCAAGUCCAUAAAAGAACACAUACUGGAGAGAAACCCUAUGAAUGUAACCAAUGUGGCAAAGCCUUUGUAUGUCACAGCUAUCUUCAAAUCCAUACAAGAACACAUACUGGAGAAAAACCCUGUGUAUGUAAAUGCGACGAAGCAUUGUCAUGUCACAGUACUCCAUGAAAUCAUAAAAGAACACAUACUGAAGAGAAACCCUAUGAAUAUAACUAGUGUGGUAAAACCUUUGCACGACACAGUCAGCUUCAAACAUAAAAGAAUACAUACUGAAGAGAAACCCUGAUAAUGUAGUGAAUGUAGUAAAGGCUUUGUUAUUGUAGUCUGAAAAGGAAUUUUAAAAACAAAUUCUUGUGAGAACCCUAUAAAUGUAAUCAAUCUAAUAAAGCCAUUUGUUAACAGUCACCUUCUAAGGGAUGCAACAUAAUUUAUGGGAAUAUAGUGGAUGGGUGUGUCUGAUUCUUUUGCCUACUCUCGAGAUGGUUCUUGUCUUAAUUAUUUGCUUUGCGAGGUUUGAUAUGAAGGUUUGUGCCUAUUUUUAUUAAAAUAUGGUAUGCCUUGUUCAUUUGCUA